UCGAGCGAAGCGUAUUAGCGGAAGUUUUCGGAUGGAAGCGGAUAUGACUUAGCGGCGGACGGGUGAGUAACGCGUGGAUAACCUGCCUCAUACAGGGGGAUAACAGUUAGAAAUGACUGCUAAUACCGCAUAAGCGCACAGGACCGCAUGGUCCGGUGUGAAAAACUCCGGUGGUAUUGGAUGGAUCCGCGUCUGAUUAGCUGGUUGGUGAGGUAACGGCCCACCAAGGCGACGAUCAGUAGCCGACCUGAGAGGGUGGCCGGCCACAUUGGGACUGAGACACGGCCCAAACUCCUACGGGAGGCAGCAGUGGGGAAUAUUGCACAAUGGGGGAAACCCUGAUGCAGCAACGCCGCGUGAGUGAAGAAGUAUUUCGGUAUGUAAAGCUCUAUCAGCAGGGAAGAAGAAAGACGGUACCUGACUAAGAAGCCCCGGCUAACUACGUGCCAGCAGCCGCGGUAAUACGUAGGGGGCAAGCGUUAUCCGGAUUUACUGGGUGUAAAGGGAGCGUAGACGGCUGUGCAAGUCUGAAGUGAAAGCCCGUGGCUCAACCGGGGAACUGCCCCCCCCCCUGUAUAGCUUGAGUACUGGAGAGGCAGGCGGAAUUCCUAGUGUAGCGGUGAAAUGC
rnacentral:rRNA from 1 species